rnacentral:lncRNA from 1 species
AACAAGUAAUUUAAACAAUUAAUAUAAUAUAAAUAAUAUGCUCACCUCUCCCCUUCUUCUAACCCUAUCCUCCUUAAGCAGCCCUUGAAGAUUUUCUUCGCCUGACCCCAGUCCUGCUUCCCUUGGAGGAAAUAAGUACAGCACAUCCCUAACUCGUUUUCCAUAAUGCUAGCAGCGUCCUUUGGCAAAACGCACAGUAGCAAUAAUCUCUGCAGGGGUCAGCAUCCGGCUGCCUCCCCAGACUGAGGUCUUUAAGAGGCAGGCAGGGAGUCGUUUUGCUUGGCAGUAGCGGUGCUCAGAGUGAUUUUUAUCGCAGUGCGUGAGGAUAUAUGGGGAAAGGGAAGGGUUCCCAUCACCUGUGACCACCCAGACAGCCUGAUCGAAGAGCCCCUAACCAGAAUCACCUCCCUGCUGAAGUGACACCCCAAGGCCCAGCAGUUAACCAAGACGUUUGCAGCAGGAGUUACUGAUGUUAUCAGUAUUCAAGCUUAGCUCUCAAAUCCGGCUCGGAAAUUGAGAGUGCAGUAGUAUUCAACUGCAUUUUGAAACAUCAAUAAAAUGUUAGUCAUUUGCGGGUGAAUGAAAACAUUUUCUUUACCGACUGGUAUGCUAGGGAAAUAAUUGUCAAAUGACAGACUCUUGCUAAUAUUGAUGCCAAAUACCUAGGUAACACUGUCAUCUUGUUAACUGCGUUUUUCUAUCGCGCGUGGAACACUGAUGGAUAAAGCUUAAAAUUAUCUAGGGCAAACGGGGCAUUAGAAGAAUCGACAUGUCGUGUAUAUGGGCAAAACUUCUCAGUAUUAUUUAGUAUUUUCACUAGAAACGAUCUAGAUCCCAUUGAAGAGAAGCAGAAGACACCGCUUACGGCAUUGUAGCUCAGUUUAGCGCUAUUUUAUGCGGGGAUAGGGCUCCAGCGUUUUCUAGUACAAGCUAUGAAAAGCAUUCUUUUGUAACUGCUGUUUCCCAGCGAUCUGACAUCUUCAGUGGGGAGGACGGGAGGAGAGGAGAUUUCUGUGACCAGGGAUGGAGCUAUGCAGCAGUUUUAAUAUGUACAACAACGCUUCGGGCUUGUGAAAGGAAACUGGAACCACUUACGUUUAAAGAUAAUUAGAGAUUUCUCCAAAUUACCUUGUGACCUUGGACACCAUCAUCAAUGUCAAAUUUAAGAAGAGAUUAAAGGGACUAAAUAUAGGGCCAAGUCAAGAAGACAAAGCAAAACAGAUACAGUGUAUGAAAAACAUAAUAUGAAACCCACAGCAAAUAUUCACCGAGGACUUAUGUGUCAAAUGUGGUAAGUUUUUUUUUAAUUAACUCACUAUAUGUAUAUUAUUAUCAGAUAUAUUUAUAUCUUACACUUUGGAAAACAAACUAUGUAUUAAAAACAGAAGUAACUUACAUUUAUUUAAAGAUAUUUAUUAAUCAUAGCUGUAAUAGUAAGCAUUAAGUUAAACAGUUUAG